UGAUGACAAUCCACCUGCUACAUUGAGCUUUUGUGUGCCAGGCUUUUAGGUCAUCAUAGAGCAAAAUGAGUCUCGUUUUACCAGUGUGUAUUAUGCAGGUGGUCUGCUACUGUUCAUACUGGACACUAAAAGACUCCACAGUU